UGGGGAAUAUUGGACAAUGGGGGCAACCCUGAUCCAGCCAUGCCGCGUGAGUGAUGAAGGCCUUCGGGUUGUAAAGCUCUUUUGGCGGGGACGAUGAUGACGGUACCCGCAGAAUAAGCCCCGGCUAACUUCGUGCCAGCAGCCGCGGUAAGACGAAGGGGGCUAGCGUUGUUCGGAAUUACUGGGCGUAAAGCGAGUGUAGGCGGUUGCCGUAGUCAGGUGUGAAAGCCUUGAGCUCAACUCAAGAAAUGCACUUGAUACUGGGUGACUAGAGGACCGGAGAGGAUAGUGGAAUUCCCAGUGUAGUGGUGAAAUACGUAGAGAUUGGGAAGAACACCAGUGGCGAAGGCGGCUAUCUGGACGGUUACUGACGCUAAGACUCGAAAGCGUGGGGAGCAAACAGGAUUAGAUACCCUGGUAGUCCACGCCGUAAACGAUGGGUGCUAGACGUUGGCGAGCUUGCUCGUCAGUGUCGCAGCUAACGCGUUAAGCACCCCACCUGGGGGAGUACGGCCGCAAAGGG
rnacentral:rRNA from 1 species